rnacentral:rRNA from 1 species
ACUACGGGUGGCAGCAGUGGGGAAUAUUGGGCAAUGGGCGCAAGCCUGACCCAGCAACGCCGCGUGAAGGAAGAAGGCUUUCGGGUUGUAAACUUCUUUUGUCAGGGACGAAGCAAGUGACGGUACCUGACGAAUAAGCCACGGCUAACUACGUGCCAGCAGCCGCGGUAAUACGUAGGUGGCAAGCGUUAUCCGGAUUUACUGGGUGUAAAGGGCGUGUAGGCGGGGAAGCAAGUCAGAUGUGAAAACCACGGGCUCAACCUGUGGCCUGCAUUGGAAACUGUUUUUCUUGAGUGCUGGAGAGGAAAUCGGAAUCCGGUGUGGAGCGGGGAAAUGCGUAGAUAUAGGGAGGAAC